rnacentral:lncRNA from 1 species
GUGAGGUACUUGGUUUGAAAAUGCAGAGUCCAGAUCUCAUCGAGAACUGCCUGGAUGAGAAGACUCGAGGCGUCGGUGACUCUGAGCUCUGCAAACAGAAAGCUCCAGGUGCGUGCAUGUGGCUGAUUCCUGGUCAAAGCUCUUUCGUUUGGUUAUAGGUGAUUGUCCCCCACUGUGUUCUCAUGUGGCAGAAGGUUACAGCUAGCUCUCUGAUACCUGAUAUCACAUAAGAGCCCUAAUUCCAUCAUGAAGCUACCUGACCUCAUUUGACCAACGGCCUCCCCAAGUUUACCUCCAGUGACUAUCACCUUGAAGGCUAUAAAACUUCAUUCUAGAAAAAGGCUGAAAAUUUUGAAUCAUCACAUGAAAACAUUUAUAACCCAAUGAAUUAAAAUUCAAUCUCUAUAACUAAAAAAGUACAAAAAUAAAUCUGAAUACACAUGCACUCAUAUGUGCACAGGUACAGGUACUAAUGCUAAGGAUAUUCAAAUAACUAUUGUUACUGUGUUAGACAUAAAAAAAAAGCUAAAUCAAAUUUCUAAAGAUUAAGGACUUUAAAAGCUGAGGAGAAAGUUACAGUGAUGAGAUUUGUGUGUGUGUAUUCAGAUUUAGUUUUGUACUUUUUAAGAUUUGUGGUGGUUUGAACAGGAAUGGCCCCCAUAGAUUAAUGUUUGAAUGCUUGGUUCAUAGAGAGUGGCACUAUUAGGAGACGUGACCUUGUUGGAGGAAGUGUGUCCCUGUCAGGGUAGGCUUUGAAGUCUCUUAAAUGCUCAAGCUCUGCCUAGUGUGGAACGAAGUCUGAUCUUGACGCCUGGGGAUCGAGAUGUAGAACUCUCAGCUCCUUCUCCAGCCCCAUGCCUUCCCGCGGGCUGCCAUGCUUUCCACCAUGACGAUAAUGCACGAAACCUCUGAAACUGUAAGCCAGCCACGAUUAAAUGUCCUUUAUAAGAACUGCUGUGGUCAUGAUGUCUCUUCAUGGAGUAAAAUCCCAACUAAGACAGAGUUCAUGGCAAAAGAUUGUGAACUUGAAGACAAAGCAGUAAAUCUGACUAUAUAAAUAUAUAAGGCAACAGAUCUAAAUAAAUCUAAAAUUAAAUCCCAGAAGGAAAAACUUUCUACAGAUGAAUUAAAGUCCGACUGUGAACUGUAUCGUGACCUCAGAGAUAAAUAGACGUGCCACCGGUGUCCUACGGGUGUGGGAAGGACACACAAACCAUCUGAAGAGAUUGAAAUAGUUCAGCUUUGCUGAAAACCCAAAACAAAUGGGUAGAAGAAACACGGGGAAGCCUAAGCGCAAAGUCUCCUGAGGAAAACCCCACAGAACCAUAUCAGAGUCAAAGAGCUCAAAAAAAAAAAAAUCAGUGAUGAAGAUAAAACGUUGAAAAGCAGCCAGGAAAAGCAGGCAGAAGAGCAAAGACAGGGUUUGCCACGCAUUCCUCCUGAGAAAUUACAGGAGGCUGAGACGACGGAGUGGCAUCUUUAAGCUAUUGGAAGAAAAAUAAACUGUCAUCUAGAUAUUUAAUCCAGUGAAAAUAUCUCCCAAGGAUAAAGGUGCAUCAACAGAGUUUCCUGAUAUAUAAAAGAUGGAAGAAUGCAUCACGAACAGACCUAACGUACAAGAAACAGAAAAGGAAAAAAAAAAAAAAAAAAGAAGAAAUUCAGGCAGGAGGAAAAUAUCACCAGAUGGAAAUAUGGAUCUAGACAAGAAUGGAGCAGGAUGAAAAGGGGUAACGCUGUGGGGAAAUAUGGAAGGCUGUUUUGUUCUUAAAAUCUCAGAGUCUUUAUAACGUUAAAAGAUAAUUGAUGGUUUAAGUAUAAAUACCACUGUAUUCUGAGUGUUAUUAUAGGAGAUGCCUAAGUAAAACAUUGGAAACAAUAGCAUUGAUGCCAGGAGGAAGAAAUGGAGGACAGCCUCACCAGACUCUUAGACUAUGUGACUAAGGGUAGGCUAGGUAUACAUUAAUAUUUUCCAAUUUUUAAAAAUUAUCUUUUAUUGGUUACUUUGGAAUCUCAUAUGGUGCACCUCAAUUGUGCUUAGCUCCCAAUCCUUUACAUGUCUGCAUCCUAUUCUGACCUCCCUUCCCACCCACCCUCCCCCAAAAUUAAAAUGGAGAAAGGAGAAAAAGGAAAAAAAAACCACCAAGUCCAUUUUGGAUUGUUAGUACACUUACUGGAGCAUGGUCAAAUUCCUAUUGGCCAGCCCCCCCAGGGAGAAUGAAUCUUUCUCUGCCUGCUUUCUUGCCAGAAGCCAUCAGCUGAAGAGAGCAGUACCAAAGUGAGCUGGGGUCAGCUCUCAUGCACCCACGCCACCAUGCUGUGGGCCAGCACCCAAGGACAUUAACAUGGCUUCAGGCAGCUGCUCAGACCACAAACAUCCGAGUGGGUUUGGGUGGGAAUACAGGCCAUAGGUCUCAACAUGGCCUGAGGUGGCUGCACAUGGGAUCGUCCCCUGAGACAGCAAUGCCUGAGGACAUUGUGGUGAUUCGAACAGGAUUGGCCCCAUAGACUCAUGUGUUUGAGUGCUUGGCCCACGGGGAGUGGCAUUAUUAGGAGGUGUGGUGUUGUUGUAGAAAGUGCAACCAUAUGGGUUUUGAGGUUUUUCUCUGCUCAAGCUCUGCCCAGUGUGGAGUUUAGUCUCCUGGCUGCCUGAAGAAGACAGUCUCCUGCUGCCUUGAGGAUCAAGAGGUAGAACUCUCAGAUCCUUCUCCAGCAUCAUGUCUACCUGCACACUGCCAUGCUUUCUGCCAUGAUCAUGGACUAAACCCCUGAAACUGACAGCCAGCCCCCAAUUAACUGCUUUCCCUUAAAAGAGUAGCCUUGGUCACGGUAUCUCUUCGUAGCAGUAAAACCCUAAGACAGACAUCAUAGCAUCAGGCAGCAGCACAGGCUGCGGACAUCCACGUAGUUCUCAGACUGGGGCAGCAGCAGGGACCACCAACAUGGCCUCUGGUGGCAUCUUGGACUACAUUGGUCCUUUAAGGAGGCCCAAUCUAGAAAGUGAACCUUUUCUCAUCUCGGGUCUCCAUCGUUGCCCAGAGUCAGGGGGAAUCCUGCUGCUGGGUGUCAGGUUCAAGGGCUGAGUCUGUGGCUGCAUAAGCUCCAGGCUGCUGCUAUAAACCAUCACACUGACUGACUCCACUGGACCACAAGUCCAGCUCAGCCCUCUCUCUCAUCUGUCACCGACGUCAUGUCUCCAGUUCCAGCUCUGUCCAUGGCGCACACAUUCUUUUCUUGUUUUUCUCAUCUCCAGCAUACAUUUGUUCAUCAUAGCAGCACAAGUUUUAUAUCUAUAGUCCCUAAAACACCCACAAAAUCAGCAGCAUUAAAGGUAGUAAGUUGAUAAAAAAAAAAGGAAGGUAGAAUCAUAACACACUUAUACAGUUGAAAAAUGAAAUCAGUAAGUUGUGAGACAAAAAGAAAAUAAAGGGAAUCAGGAAUAUAGGUUAAAUGGAAUCUGGGCAUAGUGGCUUUUUAAAAGUCAACUUGACACAACCCAGAAUUACCUGAAGAAAGAGUCUUCUUUUUUUUCUGUUUUAUUUAUUCCUUUCUUGUAUAUUACAUCUGACUGCAGUUUCUCUUCCCUGUUCUCCCCUCAGUCUCUCCUCUCUCCUCCCCUUUACCCUGGAUCUAUCCCCACUUCACCUCCCCUCGGAAGAGAACAGGUCUUCAGGAACAUCAACCAAAUAUGACAAAGCAAGCUACAAUAAGACCAGGCACAUAUUCUGACAGCAAAGCUAAACGAGGCAACCCAGUAGGAGGCAAAGGGUCCCAAAGGCAGGCAAGAGAUUCAGAGACAGUUCCCGCUCCACUGUUAGGAGUCCCACAAGAACACCAAGCUAUACAACUAUAGCAUAUAUGCAGAACACCUAGGUCAGACCCCUAUAGGAGGCUCCUGGAUCUCUGUGACCCCACUUGAGUUGGGGAAAAAUGCUUUCUCUCUAUGUCAGCCUUGGCUGUCCUGGGCUCGCCUUGUAGAUGAGACUGGCUUCUAACUCACAGAGAUUCAUCUACCUUUGCCUCCCAAGUUCUAGGAUUAAAGAAGUGAGUCACCACAGUUGGGGAAAAGAAUCUUACUGAGGAAUUAUCUAAAUCAGAUUGGCCUGUGGGCAUAUCUGUAGGGGAUUAUCGUGAUAGUUAACUGAAGUGGGAAAACUGGACUCUGAACUUUGUAAGAGUGAAGCAAUCCAGGGGAGAUCAAAUAGCUUCGAGCAGGCUACCCUGUGGCUUUGCUCUCUCUGUGUUCCUGACUGUGGAGAUGCUAUGACCAGCUGUCUCAAGCUCCUGUCACUGAUGUCUCUGCAAUUAUGAACUGUAACCUCGAAUUCUAAGCCAAAUAAACUCCUUUCCCUAUUAAAGUGCAUUCAGUCAGAGUAUUUUAUUACAGUAGCAGAAAUGAAAUUAGAACAGACACUCAAGCAAGACUCUGUGUCCAAACAAACAAAAAUAAAAUAAAAAGUAUACCUGAACAUAAUACAAUACGGCAGAGAGAGAGAGAGAG